AUGAAUGCUGGCGGCGUGCCUAACACAUGCAAGUCGAGUGGGUUUAGACCCACGGCAAACGGGUGAGUAAGCACGUAGCAAACGUACCCCAAACACGGGCAUAACCUGCCGAAAGGCAGGCUAAUUCCCGAUAUGCUCACGGUUGAAAUACCAGUGAGAAAAGCUUUAGCGGUUUGGGAGCGGGCUGCGUCCUAUCAGCUAGUUGGUGAGGUAAUGGCUCACCAAGGCUAUGACGGGUAGGGGAUCUGAGAGGAUGUUCCCCCACAGCGGCACUGAGGAUACGGGCCACACUCCUACGGGAGGCAGCAGUUGGGAAUCGUUCACAAUGGGCGCAAGCCUGAUGACGCGACGCCGCGUGGAGGAUUGAAGGCCUUCGGGUCGUAAACUCCUUUUUUGAGGGAAGAUACUGACGGUACCUCAAGAAUAAGGACCGGCUAACUACGUGCCAGCAGCCGCGGUAAGACGUAGGGUCCAAGCAUUAUCCGGAAUUAUUGGGCGUAAAGGGUGUGUAGGUGGUUCGUUACGUUUUUGGUUAAAGCCUCCGGCUCAACCGGAGAAAUGCCAAGAAUACGGACAGACUUUGAGGUCAGCAGGGGCAUAUGGAAUUCCCGGUAUAGGGGUGAAAUCCGUUGAUAUCGGGAGGAACACCAGUGGCGAAGGCGAUAUGCUAGGCUGAAUCUGACACUAAAACACGAAAGCGUGGGGAGCGAAAGGGAUUAGAUACCCCUGUAGUCCACGCCCUAAACGAUGCAGACUAGCUCUCGGGAAGUAUCGACCCUCCUCGGAGCGAAGCUAACGCGGUAAGUCUGCCGCCUGGGAAGUACGGCCGCAAGGCUAAAACUCAAAGGAAUUGACGGGGACUCGCAACAAGCGGUGGAGCAUGUGGUUUAAUUCGUCGACAAGCGAGGAACCUUACCUGGGUUUGAAAAUGUAUGGAUGUAGGCCGCAAGAAACUGUGGCCGACCGCUUAAUCGGAGCCAUACACAGGUGCUGCACGGUCGUCGUCAGCUCGUGCUGUGAAGUGUUCGGUUCAGUCCGGUAACGAGCGCAACCCCUACCCCAUGUUGUAUUUUUCAUGGGGGACCGCCUCGGUUAACGGGGAGGAAGGUGGGGAUGACGUCAGAUCAGCGUGGCCCUUAUGUCCAGGGCUACACACGUGCUACAAUGGCUGCUACAAAGGGUCGCUAAAGCGUAAGCUGGAGCUAAUCCCAUCAAAAGCAGUCUCAGUUCGGAUUGUGGGCUGCAACCCGCCCACAUGAAGCCGGAAUCGCUAGUAACCGUAGAUCAGCCAUGCUACGGUGAAUACGUUCUCGAGUCUUGUACACACCGCCCGUCAAGUGAGCCGAGUUGGCAAUACCAGAACUUUGGGCGUAUGCCAGAGGCAGGUAGGGUCAGUAAGGAGCACU
rnacentral:rRNA from 1 species